CAGUCGCCACGGUAAAACGGAGGGGGCUAGCGUUGUUCGGAAUUACUGGGCGUAAAGCGCACGUAGGCGGCUUGGUAAGUUAGAGGUGAAAGCCUGGAGCUCAACUCCAGAAUUGCCUUUAAGACUGCCGAGCUAGCAGGUGAGAGAGGUAAGUGGAAUUCCGAGUGUAGAGGUGAAAUUCGUAGAUAUUCGGAAGAACACCAGUGGCGAAGGCGGCUUACUGGCUCAUACUGGACGCUGAGGUGCGAAAGCGUGGGGAGCAAACAGGAUUAGACCCCCGUAGUCCCUGUCUCUUAUACAC
rnacentral:rRNA from 1 species